CAUCAGCAACUAAUACGUCAGUGUAUUACGAACAUUGUUCUCACACUGAAUGCAGAAUAGUCUUGUACCAGCUAUUAGGAAGAAAAUUCACUCUACACCAGCCAAAACCUGGACAGGUAUUUACAUCUGUCUUUGCUAAACACCCACUCUCUGCUCUGUUGAUUCGUUCCCUGGGCUUGUGCCCCUGUUCAAAACUUUAAGUGAAUGGCUACUUUGCUGAAUUCCUUCAUCCACAGAUUGCCCUAUAUUGCCGUAUUCUUAAUGGCUUUAUUACAGCUUUUUAUAAUAAGGAAUAUUCUUGUUAAUUUUUAAAAAAUUUUUUUUGGAUUAAGCUACAAUGUGAGAUAUCCUUGAUACCUGUCCAAAGCAUUUCUAGUGUAAAGAUAACUGACCUGUAAAGGUUUUAACUGUGUCAGUUUGCCCCUGUUACUUGCUUUUGAGAUAUAAGCUUUUGCCAUUGUGUUACAAUGUGUUACAUUAAUUACUCUGCUUGUGGAGAAAAAAAAUUUGUCAGGGUAGAGCUCUGCAAGAGAUCUUGAUACAAAGAGAAGUUCAUAGUGAGGGUUCUGCUUCCUCUUUUCUGUGUGUGCAAAGAGGAGAUGCAGUUGAUGGAUUUUUAGAACACCUGUGUAACAACAGAAGCAGACUUGAAAUUAGAAAUGCAGAAUUAUUUAAAUAAUCUUGCCAUGGGGAAUAUUCUGUGCUGCAGAUAGGUUUGUUUCCUCCUAAACUGUACAGUUAUGUAAAUAUUACAGAAGUAAAUGUCUGAAUUGUUAGAAAUUUCCUUUCAUUGUGCUCUUAAUGCCUGGAUUGUAUGGAAAUUUCAUUCAUUCUUAGAAUUGUAUAGCCUGCUUUAAAAAUCCUGUUCUUUCUGCUUCCUGAGGUAGUAAUUAUUAAGAAAUUAGCAUCUCACGUGAGAUUCCCCAUCUUGAAGAUUACAUGUGUUUGAAAUUCUAUUUUGAGGAUGUUAACUGACUAUGCAGAGGACUUUUGCUGGUUCUUCAACUUGAAGAUGAAUUCCAUGCAAUAAAGAUACCCUAGCACAACUUUCUGAAAGCACAACUUGACUACUCUAUUGGAUUCAAUUGAGGGCUGGACUCAUCAGUGAGACAUAUUGAACAGAAAACAAC